rnacentral:misc_RNA from 1 species
UCCGGCUUGACGCCGGCAGUCUCGCUAGAGUACUCGCCAUGACGCGUGAGCAACUAACGACAGGGGUUGCGCUCGUUAGAGGACUUAACCCGACACUUCACAGCACGAGCUGGCGACAGCCAUGCAGCACCUGUGCUUGUUCCACCCUUGCGGGCGUGGCUCCACUUUCAUGGAGUUAAUCCAAGCAUGUCAAACCCAGGUAAGGUUCUUCGCGUUGCCUCGAAUUAAGCAACAUGCUCCACCGCUUGUGUGAGCCCCCGUCAAUUCCUUUGAGUUUCAACCUUGCGGUCGUACUUCCCAGGUGGAUUACUUAAUGCUUUCGCUCAGACGCGCACUGUGUAUCGCACACGUCGAGUAAUCAUCGUUUAGGGCGUGGACUAC